AACGAACGCUGGCGGCAUGCCUAACACAUGCGAGUCGAACGAGACCUUCGGGUCUAGUGGCGCACGGGUGCGUAACGCGUGGGAACCUGCCCUUAGGUUCGGAAUAACUCCCCGAAAGGGGUGCUAAUACCGGAUAAUGUCUUCGGACCAAAGAUUUAUCGCCUUUGGAUGGGCCUGCGUUGGAUUAGCUAGUUGGUAGGGUAAAGCCUACCAAGGCGACGAUCCAUAGCUGGUCUGAGAGGAUGAUCAGCCACACUGGGACUGAGACACGGCCCAGACUCCUACGGGAGGCAGCAGUGGGGAAUAUUGGACAAUGGGCGAAAGCCUGAUCCAGCAAUGCCGCGUGAGUGAUGAAGGCCUUAGGGUUGUAAAGCUCUUUUACCCGGGAUGAUAAUGACAGUACCGGGAGAAUAAGCUCCGGCUAACUCCGUG
rnacentral:rRNA from 1 species